rnacentral:rRNA from 1 species
CUAUACUGCAGUCGAGCGGACAGAUGGGAGCUUGCUCCCUGAUGUUAGCGGCGGACGGGUGAGUAACACGUGGGUAACCUGCCUGUAAGACUGGGAUAACUCCGGGAAACCGGGGCUAAUACCGGAUGGUUGUUUGAACCGCAUGGUUCAAACAUAAAAGGUGGCUUCGGCUACCACUUACAGAUGGACCCGCGGCGCAUUAGCUAGUUGGUGAGGUAACGGCUCACCAAGGCAACGAUGCGUAGCCGACCUGAGAGGGUGAUCGGCCACACUGGGACUGAGACACGGCCCAGACUCCUACGGGAGGCAGCAGUAGGGAAUCUUCCGCAAUGGACGAAAGUCUGACGGAGCAACGCCGCGUGAGUGAUGAAGGUUUUCGGAUCGUAAAGCUCUGUUGUUAGGGAAGAACAAGUACCGUUCGAAUAGGGCGGUACCUUGACGGUACCUAACCAGAAAGCCACGGCUAACUACGUGCCAGCAGCCGCGGUAAUACGUAGGUGGCAAGCGUUGUCCGGAAUUAUUGGGCGUAAAGGGCUCGCAGGCGGUUUCUUAAGUCUGAUGUGAAAGCCCCCGGCUCAACCGGGGAGGGUCAUUGGAAACUGGGGAACUUGAGUGCAGAAGAGGAGAGUGGAAUUCCACGUGUAGCGGUGAAAUGCGUAGAGAUGUGGAGGAACACCAGUGGCGAAGGCGACUCUCUGGUCUGUAACUGACGCUGAGGAGCGAAAGCGUGGGGAGCGAACAGGAUUAGAUACCCUGGUAGUCCACGCCGUAAACGAUGAGUGCUAAGUGUUAGGGGGUUUCCGCCCCUUAGUGCUGCAGCUAACGCAUUAAGCACUCCGCCUGGGGAGUACGGUCGCAAGACUGAAACUCAAAGGAAUUGACGGGGGCCCGCACAGCGGUGGAGCAUGGGGUUUAAUUCGAAGCAACGCGAAAACCUUACCAGGUCUUGACUCCUCUGAAAUCCUAAGAUAGGAC